rnacentral:rRNA from 1 species
ACGUAGGGGGCGAGCGUUGUCCGGAAUCACUGGGCGUAAAGCGCACGUAGGCGGGCUGUCAAGUCGGCCGUGAAAGGCACGGGCUCAACCUGUGCAUGUCGGUCGAUACUGGCGGUCUGGAGUAUGGGAGAGGGAGAUGGAAUUCCCGGUGGGGGGGUGAACGGCGGAGGUAUCGGGGGGAACAGCAGUGGCGGGGGCGGGGUCCUGGCCCAUGACUGAUGGUCAGGUGGCAAAGCGAGGGGAGCGAGGGG